rnacentral:rRNA from 1 species
UUACGGGAGGCAGCAGUAAGGAAUUUUGCGCAAUGGGGGAAACCCUGACGCAGCAACGCCGCGUGGAGGAUGACGUUCUUCGGAAUGUAAACUCCUGUCGAGAAGGAAGAAUGACGGAUUGGUCCGUUUGACGGUACUUCUCGAGGAAGCCCCGGCUAACUUCGUGCCAGCAGCCGCGGUAAUACGAGGGGGGCAAGUGUUGUUCGGAUUUACUGGGUGUAAAGGGAGUGUAGGCGGUCUGAUAAGUCAGGGGUGAAAUGCCCACGCUUAACGUGGUGCUCUGCCUUUGAUACUGUCAGGCUUGAAUGUUGGAGAGGGUAACGGAAUUCCAGGUGUAGCGGUGGAAUGCGUAGAUAUCUGGAAGAACACCAGUUGCGAAGGCGGUUACCUGGCCAAACAUUGACGCUGAGGCUCGAAAGUCGGGGGAGCAAACAGGAUUAGAUACCCCGGUAGC